UACGUAGGGGGCAAGCGUUGUCCGGAUUUAUUGGGCGUAAAGAGCGUGUAGGCGGUCUGGUAGGUCCGUUGUGAAAACUCGAGGCUCAACCUCGAGACGCCGAUGGAAACCAUCAGACUAGAGUCCGGAAGAGGAGAGUGGAAUUCCUGGUGUAGCGGUGAAAUGCGCAGAUAUCAGGAAGAACACCCGUGGCGAAGGCGGCUCUCUGGGACGGUACUGACGCUGAGACGCGAAAGCGUGGGGAGCGAACAGG
rnacentral:rRNA from 1 species